GGGACCGGCAGUUCUUUCUAGCCCCGGGUUGCGGGGAUUUUUGGCUCAGGUGAGCGACCUUGCGGCUCGCCAUCUGGGUUCUGGCUAGCGGAGAGGCUGGGCCCCUGGAGCGUCAGGACCGCCUGCCUCUCGCAGAUCUGCGUCAGAUCUGACCCUCAACCCCCUAGGUGCGACUUUGGGGCUGUCGCUUCGCCUCCUUAAGCCGAAGAUGUGCACCUGUGGCACCGUUAACUCGGGUGCCUCCCCAAAGGCAUUAACUAGGACUGAAAGGAGCGGAUCGUGGGCCCAGGUUGUACGCUCUGGUCUGGUUUUUCCGGAGCCAGGGAACAGUUGUUUUGACGUGCCGUAAACCACGUGAUCGCCCCGAGGCCUCUCUUGGAAGUGUUCGUUUACUUUGCUUGUGGUCAGCCCUUUGAGGCAUGAAGCCGGGAGGACCUGCAUUUUUGUCUUUUUACUAUUUAAUUGCUUUUGUUCCACUGCAGAAAGUGACACUGAUUUUCCGAGCAGACUGAAGAAACCGGCAAAUGUAGCUGCGUGGCUAAUAAAGGGCAGGGCAGGCGGUGUGACUUCUGUACCCUUGGCCUAAAAGGGAACCUGGGGCCUAAGUGCAGGCUGAAGAGGUGGGAACUGUGAAAGAGAAGGGUUCCCCCACCACCACCACCAAAUUUUACUCUAUGUACAUUAGUGUGAUGGUAUCACAUCCUUUGGAACAUGUGGGUGCAGGGAAUUGAAACCUGGUCCUUUGGAAGAGCAUCCGGUGCCCUUAACUGCUGAGUCAUCUCUCCAGCCACGAAAGAGAAGCCUUAAAGACUGGUGGCGUGGUGGCGCACAGCUGUGAUCCCAGCAGUGGGAGAGGCAGAGGCAUGUGGGAUCUCUGGAAUCCAGACAACCCUGGUCUACAAGUCCAGACUUGUAGUCAGACAGAGAAAACCUGUCUUAAAAAACGCAAGACAAAACAAAUCUAUUUAAUUUAUAUAGCAGUGUGUGACUUCUUUUCUCUCCAUAAAAUACACGAUGCCUGGUCUCAUCUGAUACCCACUGUACUGGUCUGGCCUUACUUGCUAGCCGCUAUAUUACUUAGGCAGAUUUUACUAGUCUCUCCAGGAUUAAAAAAACAAAACAAAAAACUGUGGACUCAACAAAGACUGAGAAGAACAUUCCUAAAACACAGGAUGAGACUGCGGCCCUCUCUUCAGCUGUUAGAAUUCUUCUCCCUAGGGACGCCUGACCUAGCUCGAACAGAGGGAGCUGACCAGGCCAGCUGCUACAGUUUGGACUGGGAUGACUUGCGAAGGCUCCUGUGUGGCUUGGUCCUUAGCCUGGUGCUGUUGAGAGGUGGAGGAAAUGUUAAGAAGUGGGGCUUAGAGGGAGGUCUUUCAGUCAUUAGGGGUUUAGCCUCAGAGGGGACCCUGGGACCAUACCUGUUCUUCUUUCUCUGCUCUAUGCCCAGCUGUGAGCGGGCCUCCUCCACCGUGGGCUCUCACCAUGUCAAACUGUCCCACUGCAGGCCCAAAAGCAACAGGGCUGGUCAACGAUGGCUGAAGCAUCCAAAAGCACAUGCCAACAUAAACCUUUCCUCUUAAAAAAACAAACAACAAUGAAGAAGAAGAAAAAAAAAAAAACACUACAAAGGGCUCGCGGGGGCCAGGGGCCGUCAAUUUUUAUAACAAGAUCUAAAACCAUCCAUAUAUAUUAUUAAUCAAGACACCUUACUUAUGACACACUGAUCGUCCCUCUGUCAGCCUAAACCUGAAAUAGCUCCACACAGAAUAACCCUCUGUAGGGGCUGGGGAGUAACUGUCACAAGUCACUGCCCUAGGGUGCGCUCUGGGUCUGGCCGCAGUGGCCCACUUCAGGGCUCAUCACAAUCCUCCUUCGGCGGUACUCCUCGGAAGGCAGCAGUUGCAGCAGGACAUCUGGCACGAGCCUUGCUUUUGCCUGAUGGAUGCCCGAAGGAGCUUUGAAAGGAGCCGUAGGUGUUGCUGGGCAAGCUCGCUAUCUGGACCCUCUCUCUCUAUGUAGCCCAAGCUAUUCUCGAACUGCGUAGCCCAGGCUGGCCUGGAACUCCCGAUCCUUGGCAUUAGCCUCCUGAGUGCAAGGAUUGAGAAUCCAAUUUCAAAUGGAGGUGGAAGUGUCAUUAACCCAUUUUGUUCUUCAGCCCUUUCUUCUGGAAUUCUCCGUGGAAGGCAAUAGAUUGAGGCUUUGGUGUCAGACACUUCUGGGCACAGAUCUCAGCUUUGAAGGGUGCAGUCCUCUUACAGUUUAUCACGGAAGUAUUGAAUGAAAUGGAUUGACCUUCAGUAAACGGGUCUAUAUUUCAUGAGUCACACAUGGAGACUGAGGAACAGAAUGAAAUGUACUCGGGAAUAGUCCCAAGUCAUUCAUGAGGUAGGGCUCAUGAAGGAAGGGUUGAAGAGAAAGGAGAUAAGGUUCUUGCCCUGUCAGGGUUUCUGACCCCAGUGAGAGCUGAGUCCAGAAGGCACUUCCUGUCACUGGUGAACACUAGAGGAAUGAGCUUAGGUUGUGCAGCCUCCAAACCAGGAGAGAGUUCCUGACUCCCUGACACACUGAGAGAGUUCCAGGCCCCAGUUUCCAGCACUUCCCAGCACCCAGUACCAUCGGAUUGUCCUUGCCUGCCCCCUGGCAUUGGGCUUCCCCAGUGGCUCACUCUGGCCUAUGGCAUGAAGAGAGCCUGUGCUUGUGGAGACUUCCUCAGCUUGUCCUGGUCUCUGCUUUCACAGAAAAGCUUCUCUUGGGUAGCAACUGCCUCUCCAGUCUGGGUGGAACUGGGCCGGAGGGAGUUGGAAACCAGCCAGCAUUGUGUGCUUGUCACUGACAUUGUCAGCUGAAGACUGGCACAGAUUCCUGUCCUCUUGUCCUAACCCCUACAUUUUGGGGUGGUUUGUUCCACUAUGUUGAACUAGCGGCAAUAGCUAACCCAUUCCUUUGAUUAGGUUAUAAAUUCAGGCUGAAAGAACCGACACCUUGCUGGGGGAUGGUUUUCACACGCUGAUUUCUGUGCCCAGAGAUCUGAUUGCAGUCUGGACGUGGGCGUGGUCAUUACUGUGAAGAAUCUCCUGUCUCAAUGUUAUGUGAAAAAAAAAUUGUUCGACAUCAUCUCUGAUUAUAAAUAAAGAGAUGAACAGCCAAUAGCUGGGCAGGAGACUUGAGGAAGGAUUUGCAAUCCAGGGUGGAGGGUCGGGGAGGAGGGGAAGAGAGGGAUGAGAGGAGAUCACCAUGAGAGGCUCGCCAUGGGGACAAGAUGGAGCAGGAGCAGCCAUGGUGAAACUAGAUGGCAAGUAGCAUGGAGCACAUGGCUGGGAGAUAGCCAGAUUAGCCUGGACAGGUUAGGACAGAUCAAUAUCUGCCCAGUUAUGGUGCUUUAAAGCUUAUUAAUAGUAGUAAUGGGUCUCUGUGGCAUCAUUUGGGAGCUAGAACAGGCAUAGAAAAAACAUAACUUUUAUUUUUACAACACACAGUGGGUUAAGAAAGAAGCUUAUUGAGUUCUCAUGUAAUAAUCUGGUUAAGAAGCCCAGGGCAGGCCACCCAGAUGGUUCAGUGGAUAAAGGGGCUUGCUGCAAGCCUGGGUUUGAUAUCUGGACUCCAUGUAAAGGUUGAAGGAUAGAACCAACACCACAAAGCUGUGCUCUGAGUUCUGUAUGCGCGCUGUCUCCCUCUGUCACAUUUUUACCGCACAAGUACAAUAAGAAAAAGGAGUCCAGGUCGUAGCUAACUUGGCAGAGUGAUUGUCCAGCUCAUGAACCCAUGAGAUCCCCCCCAGUACCGAGGCAUGAUGGCACCGUCCUGUAAUCCCAGAACUCAGGAGGUUAAAACAGUAGAGUCAUAACAUCAAAGUCUUUCUUAGAUACAUGGUAUUAGGGCAGCAGCCUGGGCUACAUGAGACCCUGUCUCCAAAAAUAAAAAAUAAAAUUUAUUUUGGAGCAAAAGCCCAUCAUUUACAGGGGUGAGGCAGGAUGAUCAUACCAGCCUGGGCUUCACUGUUGAGACCCUAUCUCAACCCCUUACCUCAACAACAAAAAGGCCAAAGCAUGUUCAGUAGGCCAUUUAUGAGGCUCCCAGCUUUGUCUUUUCAGAGUUAAAUUACACACACACACAAACACACACACACACACACAUUAAAGUUGUGUGUCAUUUUUGUACAGGGCCAUGCUAGUGUCUGUCAUUCCAAUUUUACUAUAUAUGCUGCUAAAGUGAGUCCUUAAAAUGAGACUUAAUUGUGUGUAUAGGCUCAGACUUUUCACCAAACCCACUUUAUUUAGGGUUCUUAAAUACCUUAACCUCCCUUCCAACACCUCCCCCACCUUAGAGAGGAGAUGAGCAGGGAGAAGGGCUGUGGACCUCUUUUAUCUACCUCCUGCUGACUAGGUCCUUAGGGGAUUACCUCCUGCUGACUAGGUCCUUAGGGGAUUACCAAACUCAGUCGACCGUUUACCAGCAGUCCAGUCCAGUCCAGUCCACCAAGCAGCAACAUGAUUCAGAAGAUCAGGACAAGUCAGCAAAAGCCACAAGACUCAGUUGGAUUGUUCCAAGAAGCUCUCUGGAAUGUUUCUCUCUUCAAAGCUGUGUCAAAGCAUGAAGAUCAGUACAGCUAUGUCUAUCCAAAAAGCCACGCCUCACUGUAAAUGGGCACCUGUAUAUCUGCUCUCCUCAGAGUCCACCCACAGAUAUUCUCAGCUGGCCAAAGUCACACCCCUCACAUGAGAGAGCUCACAGCAAAGAAUCCCGCGCCCUCUCACAAGCGGGAUUUGCCUCAGGCAAAACAUCACAUGACAAAACUGAGUCUUCAAAGAAACCAGAAACUUCCACCUCCCUGCUGCGUCUUCCUCGGGAUGCUGUCCUCCUUUGAGGUUUUCAGAGCAUCCGCAGGGCUCAGCCUCAAUUUCUUUCAGCUGCAGAAGCCCACAUUCUCCACAGUGUGGCGCCAAACCCUCAUUCAGUGUCAACGUCUACCGAAAGCUUCUUUUCCACGUCUGCUGUAGGCUUCAAGUCGUUAUCUGCCUCUGUCCUGGCCCCCCAGGAUUGGGGACCAGGGAUGGAAUGCAGGGCCUCAUGCAUAUUAGGAUGCUAGUGAUUUGAAAGAGAACCAUGCUUUCAGGGACCUGCAGAUCACCUGGCUCUCCAUUACAGAAAGAAUAAAUUCAGGACCAGUGCCAGGCACUCCAGCAGUCAGUACAUCACCUGCUGCCUGGCUGGAAUGACACCUUGUUGGGCCUCUGACAGGCCUCCCCCACGUAACUCCUGUGGACUUCCCUACUCUUAUAGAGCCUCUGACAUCCGUUAGUCUACCAAAAGCUGGGCAGGUACAAGAGAACCUUCCAGCACAGGUGGGGUUUUUGCAUCACACCUGGAUAUAGGAGUGUGGUGCAGAAUGACCCUCAACUUCCACGCUGUUCUGUUCAGGUUCAGGGAAGCCAGGAACCACAUUUCAUGAUUCCUUGGCCAGAAAGAUGCUGCUGGCAAUAUGUACUUUGUGAAACUUAUAAGGGGGAGAGGAGGCGGCCGGCAUGGGCUCCUUCUCUGCAAUAUUAACGUGCAGCUCCAGGGGCGGACUGGAGGCACACAUCGGUCAGGAGCCUGGGGACCACAGGACUGAAAUGACCUUAGCAGCUUUUAUAAAAGAUUACAGACUCUUUGGCUUCCUGGAAAACAGCUAUGACAAAGGAAACAGCUAGAGGCACAGCAACUCACUAGUUGUCCCUGCCUCCAGCACUUUGAACAGGAAACACUAAUUACCUGGACAAAAUCCCUUUGGAGACACGAAAGGAGAAGAUGGGCUGUUUUGGAAGGAGAAGAACUCUGGUGGGAGAGGAGAAGACAGGGUGAGAGAGAAGGGGAAUAUGCUCCAUGUAUAUGAUACGCAUGUGCGGAAGUCAUGAUGAGGGGCUGGAGAGGUGGCAUGGCAGCCAGAGCCUGUACAGCUUUUACUGAGAGGCUAAGUUCAGUUCCCAGCACAAGGAUGGGGGAGGGGACAGGAUCCAACGAGGGAGGCAGAAAAAAAGCCUCUCUUAGGAAGCGAGAGCUAGAGACAGACUGAGAAGCCUCAAGCAUCUGAACUGAUGAGGUCUAUAAGGAAAGCUGAGUAGAAGAAAGUAAAGUCCUUAGGGAGAAGUUUUGAAAUUAAUGAAGAUUACUUUCUAUAUUGAAAGUGGAGGAAGACAGUGA